UACAGAGGUCUCAACCGUUGUUCGGAUUCAUUGGGCGUAAAGGGUGCGUAGGCGGUCGCGCAAGUCGGAUGUGAAAUCUUAGGGCUCAACCCUGAAACUGCACUCGAUACUGCGUGGCUCGAGUACUGGAGAGGAGACUGGAAUUUACGGUGUAGCAGUGAAAUGCGUAGAUAUCGUAAGGAAGACCAGUGGCGAAGGCGAGUCUCUGGACAGUUACUGACGCUGAGGCACGAAGGCCAGGGGAGCAAACGGG
rnacentral:rRNA from 1 species